CCACUCGGCCACCUCGUCGACAGGUCUCUGUCGUUAAGUUCUUCUCUCUGGGGUUUGAACUCUUACUCUUGCUGGCGUGGCUCGCCUGUAUUUUUGGGAAUCCUGCUUAGCACAACGAAGAAAACCGGCCGCUCAGAAACCUUCUUCAGACUGAACAUCCGGAGCUGCGCCUGUCCUCUGGAGCGCUGCUGGCCGUACAAAAUUACCAGGAUCCGCCACAAAACAACCCCGCAGGAUCACCGGGCUCCUUCGACGAGGAGUCCUUGAAAUUUUAUGAGAGAAGCCGGACAUCGGGUCUGGACAAGACUUAACAAAUAAGGGGACUUAAAGCGGACACAGAAAAACAAACUGACCCCGACGUGAUUUGAACACGCAACCUUCUGAUCUGGAGUCAGACGCGCUACCGUUGCGCCACGAGGCCAGCCGGCCCCUUCGUUGGGCAGCUCUGUCUUUGACUCUUGUUCGGCCAGGCGGCUGGAGGCCGGCAGCAGAGACCCGAGAUCUGAGCGCGGGUUGGUUGGACACGGCCGGUAGCUAAGCAGACUGAGGCUUUACGGCUCUGGCUUAUCCGUGCCUCCCACCCUGCCUUAGAGCCCUGUCAAAUACCAGGUGGAGGGCGCUGACCUGAUCGCCAGUGCCACCCAGAGCUCACAGCCCAGCGAGGUUCCGCCCAGAAUCAGACAGAAAGACGGAUACCAGGCAGACCAUGGUGAAGCUAUGUCAGAGUCCAGAAUACCCAAAGCGGUGGGCGAUGAGCUCCUCCAACAGGACGCAGAUUUCUGCGGAACCUUGAGAGAUACCCAGCUCAGUCCCCAGAAUGCUACACAUGUUCCCUGGCUUCAGCUAUCACCUGAAUGCUGAAGGCUCCUGCAUUCCACUUCUACUCUGGACUCAGAUGUUGUGUUCCUUCUGGACACUUUCUCUUGCCUGUCACUUCUUCUUCCUAGCCUUUCUGCACUCUAAUAGUGGGAGACUAUAACAUCAGCAGUGUUACAAUCCUAUCCCACGAUGUGGCCUCCUGACUUCUCCGUGGCACAAGCCUCCCCUGCUUCACCUGGCUGGUUUGGGAGCAGAGCAGACCAGUGAAGUAUGAUGGGCCCAUUCUGACCCAUCAAUCUGGAGACCACCAUUCAAUGUGGUAAUCUUCUGCACUAAGAGGGAAGGCAGCACAUGUCACUGGCAUGCAAUGAAGGAGCAGCUGUCUGGGAAGUAGGGGAAAGCCUGGAAGCCCCUAGCAGUGUCUCAGGUCCAGCAAUACAUAUAGAUUUCUCCUCUUGCCACUUCCUUCACUCAGG
rnacentral:tRNA from 1 species